rnacentral:lncRNA from 1 species
AUAUAAACCAUUUAUUCUUAUCAUGUUUUUGCACAAUUUAAUAUUGUUUAUAUAGUUGUAAUACAGUUGUAUGAAAUAAAAAAUUAGAUAGACGAAGCAAUAUAUGCACAUCCAUAUAAUCUAUUUUUAUGUGCGUUUGUUUAUACUUUUUAGAACGAUUAAAGAGUCAGGCACAGUUUUUUUAACGAAUUUACGUUUAAUAUUUAUUAAAAAUAUAACUAGCAAAACGAACCCGAAUUUUUCAGCAGCUGAAUUACCAUUAAAUUUAAUAGAAAAACCUAAAUUUGAACAACCAGUGUUUGGAGAAAAUCAUUUAGCUGGUAUUAUUAAUCCUCUAAUAAAUAGUCCUAAUAGUUUAAGAAGUGCAUGUAAAUGGAAUUUAUACUUUUCUAAUGGUCAAUGUACUAGUUUUCUUCAUUAUUUUUUUAAAGCAUAUGAAUCUGCUAAACACAAUAAACCACUACACAGUAUGAAUGAAAUGAAUACUUGUUUUUUUUCAAAUGUAAAUGCAUAUGUUGAUCCUAGUGACCCAACAUAUCUUUAUAUAAAUGAACCUAUCCCUGAAACACUUUACACUGUAAAAAAUAUGAAUCAAAAUCAAGGUAUACAAGCUAACAACCAAAAUGAUGAAGAAAUUCCUGUAUACCAGAGACCUUACACAUGUCAACAAAACAAUAACUCACACUACAGCAGUGGUACAAGGGGUAUGUUUUAUAAUACUAGUGCUAACCCUAAUAAUCCUAACACUAAUAAUAACUUGUUAUAUAGUCAAAAAAAUUACAAUCAGAAUUACUCAUGUAAUAGAAAUAAUGACGUCCCGUUGUAUAAUCGUCAAUUAUAUGUACCAGAUAAUUCGCAUAACUAUGGUUAUACACCUUUAUUAGGUUAUGAUAAUCCACAUACUAAUAUGACAUCACAGAAUUACAAUAUGGGAAGUAAUAAUCAUAGGCCCUUAUAUAAUAAUAACAGCGAUAACAAUACAUAUGCUACGAUGUCCAAUUACAACCAACAUAAUAACAUGUUAGGGGGUAAUAAUGAUAAUUUAACUAAUAGAAAUUUGUAUAACCAAAAUAAUACUUCUAACAAUACUGCUUUAGAUAAUAGAGGUUACACCAGUUGUCCAUACAAACAACAACAAGGAAUGGGAAUGUUAGCAAAUAAUAACCAAAGAGUACAACCUAGAUCUAUCCAACCGAGUAAUCAACAUUAUAACCCUGCAUAUAAUGGACAAUCUAACAAUUCGAAUAUAACACAACCGACUAGUCAGCAGUAUGGUCAGCCAACUAGUCAGCAGUAUGGUCAGCCNNNNNNNNNNCAGCAGUAUGGUCAGCCAACUAGUCAGCAGUAUGGUCAGCCAACUAGCCAACAGUAUGGUCAGCCAACUAGCCAACAGUAUGGUCAGCCAACUAGCCAACAGUCUGGUCAGCCAACUAGCCAGCAGUGUGGUCAUCCAAAUAAUCAACAAUACAGCGAGCAAAAUGAUCAACAUUAAGGUCAACAAAAUUAUCAAAAAUAUUAGAAAUUGUGUAGGUAUAUACAUAUAUACAUAUAUAUAUAUAUAUAUUUAAGUAUAUAAUAUUAACUAAUUGGACAAACAUAUUAGCAAAGUAAAAAAAAA